AUGAGAGGAAGGUGGCCAGUGCAUAGGGACAAGCGCCAUUCCCAGGAGGAAGCGGCCCCCAAGGCGCGGCGGGAGGAGGCUCGCUGUGGGGCUGGGAGGACCCGGGUCUGGAGGCGCGCUGUGGGGCUGGGAGGNCCCGGGUCUGGAGGCGCGCUGUGGGGCUGGGAGGACCCGGGUCUGGCUGGAGGAGAAGGCAGAUGGAGAGGGAGCCGGGCGGGGCGGUGGCUGAUGCUCAGGGAAGCUGUGAGCUACAGAAGGCCGCCAAGGCUUCUGCGCCCGUGCUCUCGUGAGGAAGAAUCGAGUGAGGAAGGAAAAUGGGAGCAGGCGGGGAGAUGCAGGGACCAAGCCGCGGGACCAGCACGGUGAAGGUGAGCCCCACAAUGGGCGAAAUAAGAGUAGGAAUCACAGGAACUCUGCUUUUACAGGUGAGUAACACAACGGGCACCAAAAGGAAACGGGGGCGCUGAACAGUGUCCUGCCUGCCUCCGUCGUGAGGCCUUUUUCUCCUGGGCGCGCGGCUGCUCAGCGGCCUCACAGUCUCCACACCGAUGGCCAAGCUCGCAAGCCGCGCUGCAGGCGUCCUGGGUGCCGGCUCCGGCCUCUGUGGCCACAGCCUGCACGAAUGCCAGCAGGACAGGCGCGUCAGGACCAGGUCAUCGCAGCUGAGUGUGCCGGGGGCCUCCUCUUCCAGCUUGCCGGCCUCUAACCACGCCUCAACUUACCUUCGGCCUGCUCUGGAACCCGGCUCCGCGGACCCAGCAAGCGGUGAGGCUUCCCCUGUGGGAUCCCAGCGCUGAGUCCCCCCUCAGCCCUGCGGGCAGGGCGCUGUGCUCCGCCGGUCGGGCUCUCCAGCCACGCCAGGGGCGCAGGAGAGGCCCUCCCCCCACUUCACUCCCGCUGUUCAGCAACGAGCGCUGUCCCACGCGUCACACACACAGACGUCUCCGUGGAAGGAGCUGAGACUCCGCCCACCGGGACGGAAGAGAGGUUCUAGUAGGACUAGAACUUGUUUCCCAAACCCUCACUUAGAAUAUUUUGCAAGGACUUAUGUUUCAAACAGCGAGCAAAACAGCUGCAAUUUAACUUAGUGCUUUCCAUCCUGCUAAACUCCCCACGAUAAAACAAACUCUGGGUGCCAAAUGUGGCCCAAGCUUUUGGCUGAGAUGACUUCCUCAAGUGUUUUGAGGGGUUACUCAACUUUGGGGUUUGAACCGAACAAAAAUUAAAAGUUCAAAAUGGUAUCCUCAAGAUUCCUGAGGGACCCUGUGCAACCCGCCUCCCAGGGGAAACGCACGUGCGGGGAAUGACGGCACGUGGGAGGCGGCCCGCUGCGCGCUCAGCCAGGUGCCUCUAACAGCUGCAGAACACAGCACCUGCACUAGGCCUGUGGACAUGCACAGUGCUCGGCGAUCGGUGUCUGAGUUACCUUCAUGUGCCCGCUUCACCUGAGCAACACCAUAUCCCUGUGAGGCCGAGGCAUCGUUACCCCUAUUUUAUGGGACAAGGAUUCAGAGGCUAAACAAGGAAUGUGCCAAUGUUCCCAGCCCCAUGGCAGUCCUGGGGAUUGAACCCCAGGGCCUUUGCACUGAGCUACAUCCCAGCCUUUUUUUUUUUUUUUUUUUUUUUUUUUUUUUUUUUUUUUUUUUUNNNNNNNNNNNNNNNNNNNNNNNNNNNNNNNNNNNNNNNNNNNNNNNNNNNNNNNNNNNNNNNNNNNNNNNNNNNNNNNNNNNNNNNNNNNNNNNNNNNNGCUGAGCUAAAUCCCCAGCCCCUGAGCCUUUUUUAUUCUAAGCAGGGUCUCACUAAAUUCUUAAAUUGUUCAAGCUGGGCUUGAACUUGUGAUCUUCCUGCCUCAGCUUCCCAGAGGGCCAGGAUUACAGGUAUGUGCCACCUCCUCUUCCCUCAGUUCCCUCCUGAAGUGGUGAUUCUGCCUUGUCCUUUUCAUUUCUGUCUGCCAGGUGGCAGGGAAUUGAAGCUUUACACAAUUUCAAGUGCCCUCUUAAAACAAAAGACUGCGAACCAUUCAUAUAAAGCUAGGGGUGAAAUGUAACUCUGAGGUGGAAUGUGGGGUAACUCUCUUCGUCUUCUUUUUGUUUGGUUGGUUUUUUUUUUUUUUUUUUUUUUGGUACUGGGGAUCAAACUCAGGACCUUGUGCUUGGCAGGCAGGCACUUGUGCCGCUGAGCUACAUCCCCAGCCUGUCACUUCGUCUUCUGAACCUGUCUGGUCAGCAGGGAUUCCACUGUCCCCUCCUGACUCGUGAGAAGCUGAGCUGUGGUGUCAGAUUCCUCUUUCCUUAAUUCUCUCUCAGCUGCGGUCAGAGUCCUCUCAGGUUCUGUCCUGAGGGGCACCCUAGUGCCUACCCCUCAACCUGGACAGCACAGUGGGAGGGAGACCCACGUGCUUCCCCAGACUCAAGGAUGAGACCCACCCAGAAACCACAGCCUGCAGGUUGCCACAGCAGUGGGGCCAGAGCACCCCAAGCCGCUCCCCCGAGCUACGCACGCAUGACUCUGUGACACCGUGUAGAGGCCAUGAUCUUCAAAGCCGUCUUCUUGCCCUGUCUGGGGUGCUGGGGCAUCCCACACCUACACGCAGGGCCUCAGUUCCUCGGCAGCAAGGCUGACACAGAGGUGGCUGGGUCUCGAGAGGUCUCUCACCCUAAUGACUGAACACGGGGUCCGCUGGUGUUGAGCAGGUAACGGUCCCCAGAUAUAAUUUAAGACAACCCCAUCAUCAGUUCAGCCACGACUCCACUUCCUGCUAAGUAAAUCCAUAUGGAUACAGUGGUGCCUCAGAUUAUAAACUUUAUUUGUUUUAUGACUUGGGGGAAGAUGGCUGCAUUUGUGUUUGUGUGGAGAAGACAGCUGUGGUUGCAUUUGUCAUCCGAUGCAGAGUUUGUGUGUGAAAGCAAAAUUUUGCCAAACACUUUCGUUUGCAAACAGAAGUGUUCGUGAACUGAGGCGUUUCUGCAUGGUGCGUGUGUGUAUGUGUGUGUGUGUGUGUGUGUGUGUGUGUGUGUGUGUGUGUAAAACUGGGACACUGUGUGCAGAAAUAGAAGCACUGCAAAGACCCUUCGCAGCCACGGGAAGUGUAAGGAGGUAAAGCAGCCCUUGCAAAUGCAUCCAUAACUGGAUGACAAAACUGAUCUAAUAAUAGCACAUUUGGAGUUGUGCAAGGGACUGCCAACUUUCUGAAGAGUGUCUGAAGAAGUUCUUAAAUUUCUUCCUUAUGGUACCACAUUUUUCAUAUCUCAUGUCCUUUCUUCCAGACAGUUAAGAAGCUCUCCUGUCAUAAACAGGAUGAUUCUUUGCAUGGGUGUGGAUGUCAUCCCUGGUAGCAAGAGUCAUCAGAAACAGUUUGAAAUGACCUUGGAAAACCAUCACCUGGUAGAAAGAAGAGCUUUUUUUUUUUUUUUAGCACAAUUGCAUAUGGUUCUGUUAUUGCACUAACCUAGUGCCCUUGAAUUUUAAGUAUUUGUAUUAAAACCAUUGCAGUAUUUUAACAGGGAUGUGUGUUUGAGGUUUUUAAGGUAACAGAUAUAAAUAUGGAGGUCUUAGAGUCUUCUCUUAAAGAAAAGAAUAAUAUUGAAGAGAAAAUUUAUAUCCUCUGAUGCAUGUAAAUGAAAAUAUAUAAUAUAAAUAAAUUAAAUGUGAAGAAUAGACUUUAAAGUGUUUUCUCUACAACGGAAUAUGCUUGUUUCUAUAAACAUGGGAAGUGGCAUUAAUGAAUCCUCCCCCUUCUCAAUAUUUCAAUUCAUUUAGAAUUUAUUUCACAAUAACAUUUUGCUCUUUCAAAAAAGAGAAAGUAUGUACUAGCUUUUCUUGCUCACACACCUUCAAGUAAAGAAUGCUAUUAUGAUUUAUGAUAGAAUACAAUCCAUCCCAUUUAUCAAAAUGGCAAAAUGAAAUAUACUUGGGCAUUUCUGCAUCAGAAUUUUAAAUACUUCUCUUUGUGUAGGUGGAAAGUGGAAACUCAUUCAUUGCUUCACUUACUCAGUAAGUAUUUCACUUGCCCUAUGUCAGGUCCGAGGUGCUGGGUGUGUGAGACAACAUCCCGCCUUCACUGAACCUAAAUUUGGGUGGAAUUCCCUCCUUGGGGAGAGAGAGCCCUAGGGAUUAUGGGGACUGAAACCAAUGGUGAUACUAAGCUACACCUCCAGCCUUUUUUAUUAGCUUUUUGAGACAGGGACUUGCCAAGUUGCUGAAUUCCUCAGGGUGGGCUCAAACUUGCCAUCCUUCUGUCUCAGCCUCCCAGAGUGCUGGGAUUACAGGCGUGCACCACUAUACCUGCUAAGUGGAAUUGCUAAAGGCCUUCAAUGGUAUUUAGCAAAACACUUGGAUAUAUUUGUCUAAUUUACCUUUCAAAUAGGAAACACAUUUAGAACUUAUUCUCAGCUUUACAAUAUCAGUGUUAGAAAAUGGGAGAAACAAAAUACUUAUUUAAGGAACAACAUCGUGAAUAUGAAAGCUACUCACGGGUUAAAAUAACAAUCUUGCAAGACCUUGACCUCCAUCACUCGAGCGGG
ensembl:lincRNA